rnacentral:rRNA from 1 species
ACAGAGGUGGCAAGCGUUGUUCGGAAUUACUGGGCGUAAAGGGCGCGUAGGCGGUCUUGUAAGUCCUGUGUGAAAUCCCCCGGCUCAACUGGGGAACUGCACAGGAAACUGCGAGGCUUGAGUUCGGGAGAGGGAAGCGGAAUUCCGGGUGUAGCGGUGAAAUGCGUAGAUAUCCGGAGGAACACCGGUGGCGAAGGCGGCUUCCUGGACCGACACUGACGCUGAGGCGCGAAAGCUAGGGGAGCAAACGG